rnacentral:rRNA from 2 species
UAAGCGCGAAGCCAACUUCAAGAUAAGAUUUCCCACCGUAAGGGUAAGAUCCCAGGAAGACUACCUGGUUGAUAGGUCAAAGGUGUAAGUGCAGCAAUGUAUGUAGCUUAUUGAUACUAAUAGAUCGAGGACUUGACCAA